ensembl:lncRNA
CCUUGGGUUUACUAUUUACAGAAAGUCACAUGUAUGGAAACUUGCAGAAAGGAGUACAAUAUAUUGUUUCUUGUUGUGAAUGCAGUUAGACAGUUGAGCCCUCAGGCUAUCAACCUCUUUGCACAGACAACUAAUUACCUUUUACACACCAUCUGCUGACUGCCACGUAUACAGAAAGGGGUUGUAUUUUCUCUGUAAAAGCAGAGACAAGGCUAUGUUUGUUAAGCUUUCAACUCUGAACCAUUCUUGGUGAUGUUGUUGCUUCAUUUUUGCAAAUCUUAUAAUAAAGCUGUUGUUGGAAGAAUCAAGUCUCUCUUUUCAUUUAUAAUUUAUCUGACAAAUUUGCGACAAGGAUGGGACGGUUAACUCCGCUUGCUGAUUGCUUCCGAGGAGAUCGAGGUUACCUACGUGCAGGACAGCGUUAGAUGUGGCUCAUGGAGCCCACUCUCCGACUAAAACGGAGCAGAGAGAGACCUGCCUCAGACCUGCUGGGAGCAUCAGUGAGUGGAGACUCCAUUCCGGACAGACACAAUAAAUUAAGGCACACACAGGACCCCCGCCUUCAAUACCAUAGUUCCCUAUAAGCUCAUUACAAAGCUCACGGCCCUAGGUCUGAACUCCUCCCUACUCAACUGGGUGCUGGACUUCUUGACGGGCCAUCCCCAGGUGGUGACGAUAGGCAACAUGACCUCCUCGACACUGAUCCUCAACACGGGGACAACACAAGGG